rnacentral:pre_miRNA from 1 species
CAAGGUUGGUUUAGUUGAUAAAGAGUUAACUCACUUGUAAGGUUGUGGAUUCAACUCUAAGUGUCGGUUGAAAACCUUU